CAAAGGGGCAUUUGUUUUGCCUGCAUUCCAGCACUUGGUGUGGGUAGAUCAGAUAUAUGAUUUAGCUUGGGAGUAGCUGGGAGAGAAGAUAGGAAGGUUGUACAGAUCAUCAUCCCAGUUCCUGUUACAUAAUUAGUUGCAGCUGUUGGAGACUGUACCAGCUGAUGCCAGGAAGUAUCUCCAACAGGUUUGGAAGAAGCCACCUGCAUUAUCUGGUCCAUCACCAUUUUACCAUAUUUUUCCAUGCCAUCAGCUAUUUUAUUGAUACUGAAGUUCUG